AGCGAACGUUAGCGGCGCGCCUAACACAUGCAAGUCGCACGAGAAGAGGGCAACCUCUGAAAGUGGCGCACGGGUGCGUAACACGUAGAUAACCUGCCCUUCGUUGGGGGAUAACGUUCCGAAAGGAACGCUAAUACCGCAUACAGCGUUUGAGGGUUUGCCUUUGGACGGCAAAAGCUGGGACCAGCAAUGGCCAGUCGACGAAGGAGGGGUCUGCGGCCCAUCAGCUAGUUGGUAAGGUAACGGCUUACCAAGGCAUAGACGGGUAGCUGGUGUGAGAGGAUGAUCAGCCACACUGGCACUGGAACACGGGCCAGACUCCUACGGGAGGCAGCAGUGGGGAAUAUUGGACAAUGGGCGAAAGCCUGAUCCAGCGACGCCGCGUGAGUGAUGAAGGCCUUCGGGUUGUAAAGCUCUGUGGGGAGGGACGAAAAUGCGCGUUCUAACAGGACGUGUGUUGACGGUACCUACUUAGCAAACACCGGCUAACUCUGUGCCAGCAGCCGCGGUAAGACAGAGGGUGCAAACGUUGCUCGGAAUCACUGGGCGUAAAGCGCGUGUAGGCGGACUUGCAAGUCAGGCGUGAAAUCCCUGGGCUCAACCCAGGAACUGCAUUCGAAACUGCAAGUCUUGAGUGUCGGAGAGGAAGGUGGAAUUCCCGGUGUAGAGGUGAAAUUCGUAGAUAUCGGGAGGAACACCAGUGGCGAAGGCGGCUCUCUGGACGAUGACUGACGCUGAGACGCGAAAGCGGGGGGAGCAAACAGGAUUAGAUCCCCUGGUAGUCCACGCCGUAAACGAUGGGUGCUAGGUGUCGCGGGAAUUGACCCCUGCGGUGCCGCCGUUAACGCAUUUAGCACCCCGCCUGGGGAGUACGGUCGCAAGAUUAAAACUCAAAUGAAUUGACGGGGGCCCGCACAAGCGGUGGAGCAUGUGGUUUAAUUCGAUGCAACGCGAAGAACCUUACCUCGGGCUAGAAAACUGGAGAAGCUGGCAGAAACGCCGGCGUGCUCGCAAGAGAGCUCCUGUCCAGGUGCUGCAUGGCUGUCGUCAGCUCGUGUCGUGAGAUGUUGGGUUAAGUCCCGCAACGAGCGCAACCCCUAUCCUUAGUUGCUAGCAGUUCGGCUGAGCACUCUAAGGAGACUGCCGGCGUCAAGCCGGAGGAAGGUGGGGAUGACGUCAAGUCCUCAUGGCCCUUAUGUCCGGGGCUACACACGUGCUACAAUGGUCGGUACAAAGUGUCGCGAACCCGCGAGGGGGAGCUAAUCGCAAAAAGCCGGCCUCAGUACGGAUUGCAGUCUGCAACUCGACUGCAUGAAGUCGGAAUCGCUAGUAAUCGCUGAUCAGCAGGCAGCGGUGAAUACGUUCCCGGGCCU
rnacentral:rRNA from 1 species